UAAAUAAUAUUCUUUGCCUUAUUUCAUUUUAUUACCAUCAUAUUAAAGUACAAAUCCAUAACUAGAACUUUAACGAUACUAAAAGAGAAUAAUUAAAAUCACUGGAUGUCAACAUAAUAAUUAAAUAAUACUUCUUCCAUCCCAAAAGGUAAGGAAAAAUGGAUCAACAUAAAUUAAUGUAUAUGGUACAAAUUUUGAACCAAAUACAUUAAAUUUUGUUGAUCAAUUUUUACUUAUAUUUUAGAUCAGAGGGAGCAUCUCAUGAAAUAUUCUAGAAUGGUGUUUGCAUAAUAUCUUUGGUCAUACACUAGAUGCAGACUCAUGUGGGAACAACAUUUAUUGGUUCCAAGAUUUUAAUGCAUUUACAUGUUUCCUUUAUACACCUCACAACAAGAUCAACUGGGCACAACCAAGAAUUUCUUACACAUUCCCAAUCGGUAAAACAUUUUCCCUUCUCAAGAAUUUCGACCCCAUCGGUAACACAUUUGUGCUUCUCAAGAAUUUUCGUUGAAACUAGAAAUGUUGAAAGAAAGAUAAUCAUAAGAUAAACAAACUU
rnacentral:lncRNA from 1 species